rnacentral:rRNA from 1 species
GACGAACGCUGGCGGCGUGCUUAACACAUUCAAGUCGAACGGAAAGGCCCUGCUUUUGUGGGGUGCUCGAGUGGCGAACGGGUGAGUAACACGUGAGUAACCUGCCCUUGACUUUGGGAUAACUUCAGGAAACUGGGGCUAAUACCGGAUAGGAGCUCCUGCUGCAUGGUGGGGGUUGGAAAGUUUCGGCGGUUGGGGAUGGACUCGCGGCUUAUCAGCUUGUUGGUGGGGUAGUGGCUUACCAAGGCUUUGACGGGUAGCCGGCCUGAGAGGGUGACCGGCCACAUUGGGACUGAGAUACGGCCCAGACUCCUACGGGAGGCAGCAGUGGGGAAUAUUGCACAAUGGGCGGAAGCCUGAUGCAGCAACGCCGCGUGCGGGAUGACGGCCUUCGGGUUGUAAACCGCUUUCGCCUGUGACGAAGCGUGAGUGACGGUAAUGGGUAAAGAAGCACCGGCUAACUACGU